UCACAGCCAAAUUGGUAGGACCAUACAAUAUAAAAAGAAGAGCAGAAAGGGAAAAAUAACACAAAAAGAGAAAUUGAGUCUUAAAAUAAUAAUGCACGUUUUGCAAUGUGCGAAAUUGCAGCAGAGAGGCAGAGAUCCCCUCCCCCAUAGCCACAGUUCGUCCUGCAAAGAUAAUUUAAAGGAAGUGAAUGGCCUUGGGUUGGGAAUGGUUCACUUUGGCUUGACUCUCAGUCAUUCAUCAAUAAAUAACGAAGCCAAAGCCCCUACACACGUUUGCAAUGACGGCGACGUAAAGGCCAAAGCUAGUGCCAAAACAAGCACUUUCCUCUGUAUACUUCAGUUUGCUAAAGACCUUUGAUGGGAUUGUCUUCCCAACUUUCUGUAAACUUUCUUCUCUGUCUGCCCCUAAA
rnacentral:lncRNA from 1 species